CCUACGGGAGGCAGCAGUGGGGAAUAUUGCACAAUGGGCGAAACCCUGAUGCAGCGACGCCGCGUGAGCGAUGAAGUAUUUCGGUAUGUAAAGCUCUAUCAGCAGGGAAGAAAAUUCACUUACCUGACUAAGAAUCACCUGCUAACGACGUGCCAGCAGCCACGGUCAUACGGAGGGGGCACGCGUUAUCCGGAUUUGCUGGGUGGAACGGGAGCGUAGACGGCUUGGCAAACCAGAGGUGAAAGGCUGGGGCUCAACCCCAGGACUGCAUGUGGAACUGUCAUGCUAGAGUGUCGGAGAGGCAGGCGGAAUGCCUGGUGUAGCGGUGAAAUGCGUAGAUAUCAGGAGGAACACCAGUGGCGAAGGCGGCCUGCUGGACGAUGACUGACGUUGAGGCUCGAAAGCGUGGGGAGCAAACAGGAUUAGAUACCCUUGUAGUC
rnacentral:rRNA from 1 species